UCCGGGGUCGUCUAACGGUAGGACGACAGCUUUUGGUGCUGUUAGGUAGGGGUUCGAAUCCUCUCCCCGGAG
rnacentral:tRNA from 1 species